UUCGGGAUCGAUGAGAGUGGCGCACGGGUGCGUAACGCGUAUGCAACCUACCUCAUACUUUGGGAUAGCCCGGGGAAACCCGGAUUAAUACCGGAUGGCACAUUGGUUUCGCAUGGGACCGAUGUUAAAGAUUUAUCGGUAUAAGCUGGGCAUGCGUAGGAUUAGUUAGUUGGCGGGGUAACGGCCCACCAAGACUGUGAUCCUUAGGGGUUCUGAGAGGAAGGUCCCCCACACUGGCACUGAGAUACGGGCCAGACUCCUACGGGAGGCAGCAGUAGGGAAUAUUGGGCAAUGGGCGGAAGCCUGACCCAGCCAUGCCGCGUGCAGGAAGACGGCGUUCUGCGUUGUAAACUGCUUUUAUCAUGGAAGAAGAGGCCCAUGCGUGGGAAAUUGCCGGUACCUGGUGAAUAAGCACCGGCUAACUCCGUGCCAGCAGCCGCGGUAAUACGGAGGGUGCGAGCGUUGUCCGGAUUUAUUGGGUUUAAAGGGUGCGUAGGCGGCUUUUUAAGUCAGAGGUGAAAGUUUACGGCUCAACCGGAAAAAUGCCGUUGAUACUGGGGAGCUUGAGUCACGGAAGGGUACAUGGAAUUGGCGGUGUAGCGGCAAAUGCGUAGAUACCUUCAGGAACACCGAUAGCUUAAGCAUCGUACUUGCCGUGAACUGACGCUGAGG
rnacentral:rRNA from 1 species